CGUCUAUAUACGUAUAGCAUAUCAAUAAGCGGAGGAAAAGAAACUAACAAGGAUUCCCUUAGUAACGGCGAGUGAAGCGGGAAGAGCUCAAAUUUGAAAUCUUCAAGGUUCUACCUUGACGAAUUGUAGUUUAAAGAAGUGUUUUCUGUUAGAGGAGUAGGCAAAAGUUCCUUGGAAGUAGGACAUCAUAGAGGGUGAGAAUCCCGUAUUUGGUUAUUCUUUCUAGCUGUGUGAUACACUUUCAAAGAGUCGGAUUGUUUGGGAAUGCAGUCCAAAAUGGGUGGUAAAUUUCAUCUAAAGCUAAAUAUUGGCGAGAGACCGAUAGUGAACAAGUACCGUGAGGGAAAGAUGAAAAGAACUUUGAAAAGAGAGUUAAACAGUACGUGAAAUUGUCAAAAGGGAAGCGUUUGACACCAGUGUUGUUUUUCCGAAAAUCAAUUAAGAAGUGACUUGAUUUUGUGUUGUAUUGACCUUAUCAGCUUUCUUCACUCUUUUUCGAGUCUUUCUUAAUGCACUUUUCGGUUAACAAGUCAACAUCAAUUUCUUUUGUUGUAAAAGGGUAUUUGGAAGGUGGCUUUCUUUUCGGAGAAAGUGUUUAUAGCCUUAUACCUCCUACAAUCGGAGAGAUUGAGGUCUGCAGCGUAGAUCCUUCGGGGCUAGAUACACUUGUGCUAAGUUAUAGCUUUUCAUAGACAACUUGUUGACUAUGUUUAGUCAUGUAGCUUACCCGCUUGUGCUAUUUUACCUACGCUUAGGAUGUUGAGUCAUCACACAUCUCU
rnacentral:rRNA from 1 species